UAGCAGAGGGUGCAAGCGUUGUUCGGAAUCAUUGGGCGUAAAGCGCACGUAGGCGGCUUCGCAAGUCAGGUGUGAAAGCCCGGGGCUCAACCCCGGAAGUGCAUUUGAAACUGCGAGGCUUGAAUGUCGGAGGAGGGCAGUGGAAUUCCGAGUGUAGAGGUGAAAUUCGUAGAUAUUCGGAGGAACACCAGUGGCGAAGGCGACUGCCUGGACGAACAUUGACGCUGAGGUGCGAAAGCGUGGGGAGCAAACAGG
rnacentral:rRNA from 1 species